rnacentral:rRNA from 1 species
GGUCCAGACUCCUACGGGAGGCAGCAGUGAGGAAUAUUGGUCAAUGGCCGUAAGGCUGAACCAGCCAAGUAGCGUGAGGGAAGACUGCCCUAUGGGUUGUAAACCUCUUUUAUGCGGGGAUAAAGGUGUCCACGUGUGGAUGUUUGCAGGUACCGCAUGAAUAAGGACCGGCUAAUUCCGUGCCAGCAGCCGCGGUAAUACGGAAGGUCCGGGCGUUAUCCGGAUUUAUUGGGUUUAAAGGGUGCGUAGGCGGGAUGCCAAGUCAGCGGUCAAAUACGGGGGCUCACCCCGCGUCCGCCGUUGAAACUGGCGUUCUUGAGUGGGCGAGAAGUACGCGGAAUGCGUGGUGUAGCGGUGAAAUGCAUAGAUAUCACGCAGAACCCCGAUUGCGAAGGCAGCGUACCGGCGCCCGACUGACGCUGAAGCACGAAAGCGUGGGUAUCGAACAGGAUUAGAUACCCCAGUAG